UUUACGUUGGCAGAUGUUUUCUUUGGGCACUUCAAGGAUAUCAUUGUUAUUACCUGCCUUCUCUAUCUUCUGAUGAAAAGUCGGUGUUCACUUAUUGUUUCUCAUUUGAAGGAUAAAAUGGAAGUGAUUGCUCUUUCUGAUUUGCUUUGGGAAGUGAUGAAACAAAAGAUGAUGAUUAUUUGUAAAAGAAGAAUCAAUAGUCGCUGAAUGAGGGCCUGAAUGAUUCUCCGAUGAGUCAAAGACAAAGGAACUACCAAGGCGCAGAGAAGUCAGGCAACGUACCCAAGGGCACACAGCUCACAAGGGUGUGUGGCUGUGUCUUGAUAUGGGGCCUAAGUCUCCUUCCAUCCUCACUGCUCUGCCUCACUUUGGAGCCAUUCAAUUGAAGUUUAUUGAACGAUUGAAAAAUCGAAGAUCAAGUGAAGAGUUUGAGGUUUUGGAAUUGGAAAAGCCUUCAGAAUUUCCUGGAACCCUCAGAUCAUUCUUGAAGCCCUCCCUGUAUGAAGGAAACAUCUCUGUUUCCUCCAAAAGAAAGGCAGAGCAAUCUUCCUAAUUUAAGCAUCUUGGGUACAAAUCUUUAGAUUGAGAAUGUGUAACUUCAAAAUAGUCAAUAAAAAAAAGACUAACAUCAAGAUAUAACAAAAUGCAUUAAUGAGAGUCUUGAGGGUACAUCAGUUUGUUGAGAACUCAAAUUUUCCUCUAGUCAUUGUGAUGCUAUUGAAUAAGUCACAUUUGUGUUUAUAAUUGGUUUAACUUCUUCAUUUUAACCAUAUGUUUGUAUCUGGUUUAGUUAAAAGAAAAAAAUAGUAAAAGAUUUACCGGGUUCAAUCAUAUAGUUCUUUUAAAAGCUUUGGUAAUGGGGAGCCAGCAAGGGUUUCUGAACAGAUGUUUGAUUUUAUUAGACUUUAGGAAGAUUAAUAUGGGCAAUCUACUUAGUUGCAUAGGAUGCUGUAUUAACUAGCCCACAGUGGCCAUAGCAGUGGGGUUUUCAGAGCAACUGCUUUUGAUCAGGGAGUAACUUCUAGUGCUACUCAAGUUAUCCUACAUUACAUGGUGCUGACUGUGCUUUUGUAUAGAGUGAUCCUCUUGGACAUCCGAGUGCCUUCCUGAGUACCCAAUACUGAGUCCAAUUCAUGAGAGACAAGUAAAGACUGCAGGUAAAGUCCCCAAGCCAGUGGGUCUCAUUGGUAGAGUUCACAUUGCUUCUCUCUUAAAGUGAUUGAUCACUGAUAGACUCAGAUGACAAGGGGAGCAGCAGUUGGUGAGACAUGAGUAUGGUCCACCCAUUAGAGAUGGCUCUCAAAGUAUAGAUGUGUAAACACAUUUCAUUGUUAUGAGUUUUAUGAGCACCAGAAUGAAGCACAUUUGGCUUUUAUCACUGGGCAUUAAAUAGGGGAAGAUGGAUGCAAUGCAGUGUUCAUGUUAUCCUUUAUAUUAUGUUCAAAAUUAUUAAGCUGCACUUAGGACACAUUUGGAAAAAAAUACUGGGAUUUGAACAUCACAUAGAAAAGCCGGUGUAUGUUUCACAGGAUGUUGGGCUUCAGGAGAGAGAGAAGAGGAAGAGGGAAGAGAACAGUCUUUACAUACUUCAUUUUUCCCCCAUACAUCAUACACAAAUAAUAAAAUAUUGUCCCAAAGAUUUUAGUUAAUUGUAAUGUAUCUCUGGAUAUCCCUCUGAGCAGUCAUUUCUGGAGUCCAUACACAGAAGAAAGACCAGUUUAUUAUCUGCUGAACAAUAGGCUAACUUGAAUCAUUGUUAUUAUUCAUUUGGAAAGUCUAAGAAAAGGCUGCAUUCUUAGACAAAACCAGGAGAUAGUUCUUUGCCUGGUAGGAGUGAUGGUGCUUGGCCAAACAUAGCCAGCAGAAUGUGAGCUAGCCAAGGAAACAGAGAUAGGGCUGGAUUCCUCAGAGAGACAGUGAAUCUUGGAAAGGUGGACAGAAGAAGCAAAUUAUGAGGAGGUAUUUAAAGAAGGAAGACAGAUUUGUCCCUAUUUGUAGACAGACUAAGUAAAGCAGAUGGUUGCUUCUGAAGUGUGAGUUUAGGCAGGCCUCACUGCCCCAAAUUAUCUUUAAUGUUGGCCAAUCAUUGUAUCAGAAAUUCCUACCAUCAAGAACUUUUAAGCUGAUGCAGUGAUCACCAUCAUUAAAUGCAAAGGAUAACUGGAAAGGGAAAUGCCUAAACUUAUUGCACAGAUACUGUUGUUUGCUCAUACAUAGGCCAUUUCCCCUUUAUUGCUAACAAUGUCCCAGUUUUGUUCAGAUACAGGGUGAAUAUUAUUGGAUUUCUGGGAAGAUGGACCCACCAGUUUAUGUGUGAGGAUGUUACCCAGUUCCAGCCAAAGGGAUAUAAAGAAGAUUCUGCUGGAGGGAAGUCCUUCGAAAGAUUUUUCUGCUGAUGAAGAGAGAUAUAAAGUGACAGACUUACCCAAUUUCUGACUUUUAUGAGGUCUUGAGAGGAGAUGAUGCCCAUAACUGCUGCAUCCAUCUUGAGAUUGUGAAAAGAAGGGAAAGAAACAGGCUGAGAUCCCAACUCAAAGUUGAUAUCCACAUAGCAAUCAUCAACCACUGGACCUUCUGCUGGUUGCAGGUCCUUCUAGUUGUGGGAUGUGGGACGCAGCCUCAACAUGGCCUGACCAACGGUGCCAUGUCCGCACCCAGGAUCUGAACCCUUGGCCACAGCGGAGUUCGCGAACUUAACCACUCAGCCACGGAGCCAGCCCCGCAAAGCUACCAACUUCUACCAAGUAGAUUGGCCAAAUAGAUUCAGCACACUUCCACACAGAUCCAUUUCAUACCUUUCUCUCUCCUCCCCAGUGACCGUAGAAGCUGACCAAAAUAGAAUUCAUCACGCAGGCUUCCAUGUCCUCUGAAUUUUUGUUGGGUUAAGCCGUUGGAAGAAAGUAGCAGGAGAACAGGGGAUGAGAAGAGAGAGAAGUUUGAGUGUUUAUUUCUCCUUACUCCCUCCUACUUUUUUUUUUUUUUUGAGGAAGAUUAGCCCUGAGCUAACUCCUGCCAAUCCCCCUGUUUUUGCUGAGGAAGACUGGCCCUGAGCUAACAUCUGUGCCCAUCUUCCUCUACCUCAUAUGUGGGAUGGCUUCCACAGCAUGGCUUGACAAGCAGUGCCAUGUCCACACCUGGGACUGAACCUGUGAACCCUGGGCUGCUGAAGUAGAACAUGCGCGCUUAACCACUGCGCCACCGGGCUGGUCUUGUACACCUUCCUGCUUUGAUACGACUGUCAGGGGCUAUACUCCUCUAAGGCUAUAGCCCCUGUGGAUAGUACAUUUUUCUUUCGCCAGCAUCUAGUAACUCCAAUUUCUCUCCUUGAUCCUUCAGACCUAGAUAACAUAUUUCCACUGCCUCUGGUACUUGAUUAUCUAAUCAUCACUUGGUGGUACCGAAUGUAGCCCACACGUCUAUAAAUUGUCCCUUUACAGUGUACCAUCCCUUUCCUGAAGGGACUUUAACUAACAGAAUUAUUGGUGCCAAGGAUGUCAACCCCUAUACCCUAAAAGAUGGAAUUCUAGAAUAAAACUGCUCAUAUUUUUGAGUAAUACACACUUAAUCUCCAUGAGGACACUGAUAACCCAUGAUUGCAGUUAUUAAAAUUAUCACUGGUGAAGAUAUAGAGUGAAUUACAGGUGGAGGUCAAGGUGAAGGGAGAUCAAGUGGUUGAGGUACUUAAUUGCUAUGGUGAUAAUGGUGAUUACAUUGGAUGUGAUGGUGGAGCAACUGAUUCUAACUGUACUAAAGAGCUUACAAAAAGAAUAAAAAACGAAGCUUAAGGAUUUAACCUCUUAACUCAAGGCAUGGUCAAAGAAUCAGAAAGCUUCUAAGGCGGUCCUAAGGGAAACCAUUCUUUUUUUAGCUACAGACAGGGCAUGGAUGAAAGCCAGACAUAAGUUCUGAAUAUACACAUUUCUGAGUUGCAAUAGACACCAAACCAAGCUCAUAUACUAUGUAAAGGUAUUGGCUGGGCAAAAAGUACAAUUUGGAAUCUUGGAUAAAGAUAUUUGGACAAAGAUGAAUCUGAGAAUUUUGAAUCUUCAUAUCCUUCUGGAAGGAGGUCUCAUCAUUUGAUUGAUCUAGCCUUCCUUUGGGGAAAAAAGAAAAUUUUCAAAGACUUUGGUGAAAUUACCUGGCGCAGUUGACUUACAUAUGAAUGCCUUUUCUUCUCACAACCUCCUGCACCACUUUCCAAUGCCUUACCAAGAAGGUAAAUUCCAAACACAGAAGUAAAAGAAUUGCUCUGGGAAGAGGUAAUAAAUGCAGCAAAAGAGUUUCAGGACCUUGUCAAGUUACAUUCCAAAGGGAUGGAUCAAGCCAAAUAUAUACAGAUGGAGGCAUGUGGGCAGAGCUAGGGAAAUCAAUAAAGGACAGUGAGACACCCAGCAACCAGCAAGAGCAGGGAGGAAUUACUGUUCUUUGCCUGAAAAGUCGCCCCCUUUCACACCUGCUGUUUAGCUCUAAUCUGUGCCUCCGCUGAGCCCAAAGCCCCACAGUUCAGGAUUCUGAAAGGCAGACCAUGUUCCAUGUGGUCCACAGUCCUGUCUGGAUGCUGCCAGGUCAUAACUUGUCGACUGGUGAGCAAGUUCAGCUUUGACAACCGGGCCACUUGGACUGUGUUAAUCUUUUCCAAGGCUCUGAAAAUGAUUGUUCCAACAGAAGCAGUGCCAAACGACAGAAAGUUCUCCACGUCUGUAUUUGCUUGUACAGGUAUUAGACCAGAGCUCAUUUGGUGCAAAUCUGGAGCUAGUUUUACCUUAACCAAAGCAGGUACAGAGACAUUACAGCCUCUCAUCAGUGAAUAUUUGGAGUAUAAUGGGUUUCCAGACUUCAGGUCACUAGUACACAAUGAGAUCUCGGCCCACAAGAAGAGUUCGUCUUUUGAGAUAAUAUUGAUUCUGGAAAAUAUUUCAGUUACUCCUGCCCAUAGCCACCAUAUCCAGAAGUCAUGACUUUCCCAAAAAGAAAGAAUGGAAGGAGAGGAAGAGAGAGAAGGACAUGGAUUUUUGAUACUUGAAACGACAUUCCCUUUGUUUCAUAUUGGACUAAGGUCUCUUCCUUCUUUUCUACCUUUCAUUUUUAAAAACCAUUCAGCAAACACAGAAUAUUGUGAGAUGCUACGAAAAUGGCCUGGGACAAGGCACUUAUCAUUCUGCCCUCAUGGAGCUUACUUCCUGUGUUUGAAUUACUUGUUUUUCAUCCCAACAUUGAAAUUCUGCCCUCAGCCUGGUGGCACCUUACAGAGAUUUUCACAGAGAAUUCUACAAUAGCAGGAAAGGGAAAAUAUAAGUAGAUCAUUGCCACUGAAUUUGAUGCUUUUUUUGUCUUUAAUUUUCUUUUACAAUCUACCAAUCACCUGCAUUUACCAACAAAUUAUUUUGGGGGAAAGGGCAGAGGAAUGGAUGAUUCAUACUGCUUCUCUUAGAGAGUUCCAAAUCUCAUAAGGGAGAGAAGAUUCUUCCACAUGUAUAGACCAUAAGUAAAAGGCAGCGUUUCCAUGUGACCUUAUUACCUGGUUGAUUAUGCCCCAGUACUUUGCUUUUUAUUAAUCAUUCAUAUAUUCAUUCAUGCAAUCACUCAAUGAACAUGAGUUGAACACCCAUUAAAAGGAAGGCACUUUUAUGCACAAAGUGUUUUGAAUGAUAGCAACUAAUUCAAGGGAAGCACUGAAGAGCCCCUACAGACUCCAUAAUCUACCUUCAGACAUUUCAAAAUAAAAAGCUUGACCUGCGUCACUUGCCCCAGGAGGCCCUAACUUCCAAUAGGUCAAGUCCUUUUUCUAAGUUUUGGUUUGAGUUAGCAGUUUUCUUCACCUCUUCCCUCACCACGUACCACCUCCUCCUCUCCACCCCUCAAAUAAAACAUAUACAGAGUCUCUCAGGCAAAUAUACGCACCAAGAAACACACAAUUAAGUAAUUCUCGAUCUUGUUCCCAGGUCUGGUAGUCAGUAAUAGUUUCUAAGGGCCCAGUAGGAACCUGUAUUUUUAUCCUAGGCAUCUUCUAAUAUCAAAAAAUAGUUCUAGAAAUGCUUAAGAGAGAGGUAGCUAUGUUUAAGUUUUGUGAUGUUUUUCCUUAGCUUAUUAUUUUUUACAACCGAAAUGAAAUGAAGUCUGAGCCAAGUUUAUAUUGAUUUUUUUUCAAACAAUACUAUCACCCUAAUACAUCCUAAUCUUUCAAUUCUAAUUGGACACAGAGAAGUCAACAAUCGAGCUUUAUUUCCAACUUCUAAUUGGCUGUAAACUAGUGAAGUGAGCGUGUACUUUUACUAAACUUCACCCAUCAAGACUAUCCGCCUUCACAGCAUCACAAAUUCAGCUCAUUAUAGCAGCCCACCUGAAGCGCCCCUUGCCCCCCAUCCAUACUGCAAAGCCAAUUACAUUCACGUAUCUGCCAUGCAGUUUGCUUUCAGCUCCACAAACUGUAACAGUGAGAAGAUAAUGCAGGCUCUUGUUACUAUUUUUCAUCUUUGUGAAGGUCCUCUUCUAAGUCGUGUUUCCCAUGUAGGUCUCCUCACUGGCUUCUCUAUCGAAUUCUUCUGUUUCUCUGGACCUUUUAACUCACAUUAUCUUGUAUUACAGGAAGUAUUACUGCUUACUUCUCUCUUGAGCUGGCAUAUCCCAGGACAUUCCCACUUGAUAGGUGUAAUUUAAUUUAAAUACUACUUUCCUUGUAAACUACUCUCUUUAAGGAGUGGAGUUAUUGGGAUGGGGUGGAGAUGACAAUUUAUAUUGGGAUGUAAAAUGACUGGUGGUCAACUCGAAAGUUCUCUCUACCAUCUUUGAAAUUUUGUCUACAAGGAUGUUAGUCAUAGUCCAUUGUUUUGGCACAUUUUGCAGUGCUUGUAUCCUAUUCUAAAAGUAAAGCUCCCUGAAGGUGGGUUCUGCGUUUUAUAUCUUUUCAUGCUUCUCUCUUGUGCACAUUAAUCAAAUUGCCUUAGCAAUAGUAGGUGCUUAACAAAUGUGCACUGAAUGAAUGAACUCCAGCUGCCUCUAUCAUUGCCUCCCUUGCUGUUCCAAAGUGGGGUAUCACAGGACACCAAGCCCUGCUGGGUGAAUGAGUUAUACUCAAGCACUACCUAUUUCUCAAAGGCAAAUCACACACACUCUGGUUGAGAGGCACAGGCUUGUUAUUAAUGAUGCUGGGAAAUGUGCCUUGUGACUAGGGAUGGGUGGAGCGCUUUCCACGUUACAGGAAAGCCUCAGUUAACCAGGACCCAAGGGGUCACAAUCCUCAAUUAGAAUUUGUUUCUAAUUUGAGAAGAAAGAGACAAAGGAUAGACAACUUGCUCACAUUGAGGAGUUAGCAAAAUAAGAGGUAAUGAAGUUAAAUAAAAUCAUAUUGGUAAGGAACAAUUUAGGACCAGCUCCAUCUCCCACAUGAUAUGCAUCUUUAUCUCUCGCUCUGCAUAUGAAGAUUACAUCUGUGAUUUGUAUCAAGAUAGAAAACAAUACUUAAGCAAGUCAUUUAUGAUUAAAAUGUUUGAAACCCAGAUAACAUCCUAGGGUCUCUAGGUUUAUAAACUGUAAUAUACUUAUGAAGACCUCAAGACCUUAGGGGAAAAAAACAAUUAACAAAAUAUUACUUAACAAAGAAAAGCCCAAUGCCAGGUGUGGCUAGUAGAAGAGGUUCUUUACCUCAUACCAAUGCUCCUUACCCUAGACCAGAGACAAGGGACUUUCUGACAACUUUCAUACCUUCUUGGGCAGACUGGACAAGUAACUUCUGCCUUUCUCUUUUUCUUCUCACUGGCCCCUCUCCACGGAAAGAGCUACAACCAAUUAGAUUGGUCAGUCUUGUGCUUACCGGGACUUGUUGACAGAGGUGCACUUCUUGUACCCUGAGUCUGUCUGGAACCUGCAUCUCUCCUGGAUUGGUUAUUAGGGUAGUGGGAUUUCAUCUGCUCCCUUCUCCCUUAUAGGAGCCUCUCCUCCCUAUGCAGGCAAGACACCACCCUUUGCCUCCCCAUUUGUAACUGGUGGGUAAUGAGAUCCACGCAUUCCCAUGGACUCAGCUGACCCUGAUUUUUAAUCAAAUAUGAUGCUCUAUUUCCGUCCUCAAUCCAGGCCAUGUCUUUCAAUAUAGUUUACCAGAAACUGUUUAUCAAUCACCGAUUAAUAAAUUUGAUGUUUUAAAUCUUGUUUGGCUAAUGCUUCUUGUGUCUAGUCUCUUCAUAGAUUAAAACUUGGCGAAAGGAGGAUGGUAUAAUUAUUACCUCCAAUUUCUAACCCUCAGGUACAAUCAAAUCUGAAUUUACCAUUAUCUUAAGCUAACUUUUUUUUUGUACUAGGCUUCUAAAGAGGAAAUAAUUUACCUAAGAAAAACUGAAUGAUAGAAUUUUUCAAAAGAAAAAUUCCAGAAUUAGUCCAUAUUUAGUUUGAUUUCUCAUCUCUCUGAGCCAAGAGUGAGGAAGACGGGUGUUGGUGGUCUGAUGGUAAAAGAGAAGGAAGAAAAUUCUGUAUAUACUCUAAAAAACGGGAGAGUGAAUUGAGUAGAGAAACACAAUAGGAUCUCUGGUUAGUGCUGAGGGCCCACCUGAAGUAUGUGGUCUUAUAUUUCAAGUGAAACUAGUUAAGAAGUUGAUAUGGAUCUUGCCAGUCAUUACAAGCCAAUUCCUCCUUGCACUCCUUCUUUCUUGAAGCUAUAAGCACUCUGCUGAAUUCAACCCCUAUCCUACACUUGGGUGUGUGCAUGUUGUGAGUAUAUAAAUUGUCACUAUGUAAAAAUGUAGCCCUAAACCAAACAUUGCUUAAUUUGCCUGGCUUUGAGCUUUAAAACAUAUUGAAUGCGUUCUUCUGUGACUUGAUUUUGUUCCAUAUAAUAUUUAUUAGCUACAUCCAUAGUGUUGCUUAGAGAUGUAAUUCAUUUAUUUCCACUUAUUGUAUAGCUUUUGUUUGUGCUAUUAUGAAAAUGCUGUAUGACCCUUCUCAUGCAUAUCUUUUGGUGUAAGUGUGCAAUUUCUCUGAGUUACUCACCUAAGAAUGAAAUUGUUUGCUCAUAGAGUAGACACAAGUUUAAAGAUAAUGCCGACUUGUUUCCCAAAUUGGUGGUAGAAAAUUAUAUUCCCUCCAGCAAUGGUUCCUAGAACAAUUUCAGUUGCUUAGAUACAGGCACUAGAUAGUCAGAUGGAUAGAUUUAACUAGAUGGAGGGUUUGUCCAAUGAAUAUGAUAGAAGGGCAAGGGAAUUAAGAUUUUAACGAAGCAGUGAUUAAAAUGAAGUUCCAUGGAAGUUAAGCUGGAUAGAGUAUAAAGUAAGGAUUUCAGUGAAAGAUGCAUAAGAUAAGAAUAAUACGGAAUCCAUGAAUUAGGGGUCCCUUCAGCUGCACUGCAGAGAGGUAAAUGGUGAGGGGUGGUUGCACCCUUGGGAAGAGAGCCCAAUGAAAAGCAUAAGAGAAGCUUUAGACUUCAGACAAAGGGAGAGCAGAGUAUCUAGAUAGAAUUGGGAGAAGGGAGCAAAAACUUCUUCUUGGAGAUAUCCAGAUACAUAUGUUUGCUCUUGUGUCAGAAACUAUUCUGAGAAAGUACAAAAGCAGUGAAAUCUAAUAAGUUAAACUUCUGCAUUCAGGUACAUCUGAAUAGCUAUGCAGAGUGAGGAUAUGUCCUUGUGAGUAUAAACCUAUUGAGAAUAUUUAUUUGAACUAUGUACAUGACACAAGAACAUCAAAACAAAAAUAAAAACAGAGAGCAUUUAAGGUGCUUGAGGAAAUUCAUUCAGCUCACAGGUUGAAAAAUCAAAAUGCAAAACUGAGUCCAUCAACUUUACUACCAAGGGUGCUGUAAGGUGGUGUCUGGAGUGGUGAUGCUUAAGCAUUUUUGGCAUGGAUUUCUUGGGGAAAUUUCGUAGUUUGCCCUCUCCCUUGAGAACAAGCCUAGACUUCCAUAAACAUUACAAUUUUCAGACCAUUUUAGGAAGUUCCAGAGCCCCUGAAGCUCCAUCUUUGGAUUCCCUCUGGGUCCAGGGCAAAAGCACUACACAAGUUGUGUGAGUUGUGUCCUGUAGGGAGGGAUCCAGACUUCGGAGCAAUGGGAAGAAACAAGUUUGGCUGGCCCUCCACUCACCAAGCUGGGUGCUUCUAAGCAACUGUAUUCAAACACAGAGAAACCUGUUUUUUCCUAAUACAUCUGCCCAAAGAAGAUACUUUUUUGUAAUUCCCAAAAAGAUGUGCUGGGGCAAGCCCAGGUUGUACUUCUUCUUAUACAUGGUCUCAGUGGUUUAUUUAAUCAUUUCACAUUACAGAUUCUUUUUCAAUUGGUUGUCGUCAGAAAUUUAACAUAUACAGGCCCCCUAUUGUCAGCUCUAUUGUCCCCCUUGGCUGUGUUUGCUAGUGUCUGGAGGGCAUGAGGGAUAUUUGCAUCUCCCUCAGUACACAGCAGUGUCCUUAUACACUAAGAUACUCAAACACUAUUUGAUACUUGAUUGAUUACUGUUUGGUAGAUGAAUUAAACCUAAAAGGAGUUUAACAAAUAAACUAUUGUUUAACAGUCUAGAGGUAUCAAUGUUUUGAGUUUUAUUUAAGCUUUUCCUUUGGCAGAGAGGUAGACAUAGCCCCAGACUGAAAAGAAUGAACUGUAUCCAGCUCCUAUGUGGCAUCUGUAAGGCUCCCGAUGCUGAGGUGAGGGUGGCGGGGAGAGGGGUUGGAAAACAAUAACUUGGAAACUGGAGAAGGUCUCACCAGCAAGGGGGGCAGAUGGGAUCAUGCCUUUGAAGACAACCAGAAAAGUUUAAUCCAAUUUCCACCAGACACCCAAAUGUGCUCUAAAAGAGGAAUUUUCUCGAGAUUGAGAGUGAUGGAAACAGAACUGGAGAUAUUCAGGGAGAUAAAUGAGUGGGAGAGAUUUAUUGAUGAAGCAUGUAUAGAACUAAAUGUGGAAGUUAAAACAGCAGAAAAUGAGGUCCAGGAGAGGAAAUUGAGGGAAGAGGCAGUGUGUGUCAGGAGAGGAGCACGUGGGAAACGUGAAGUGAAGGCAGAGCUGUGAUAAGAGUCACAGCAUAGAGGCCGAGUUAGAACCGGAGCGAUUUGAAAAGAUAACUCCUCUGGGCAUUUGGGACAUACCCUGGGUCUUGAUAUCAGGAGUGACAUAUGGAUCUCAUAAAUUAUCCUUGGGUGAGUAUAAACUUAUUUCUGCCUUUAUCUCAUUCUGUCAAGUCGAAUUUCUAAAUAUUGUAGGUCCCCAAUGAAUGUCCAAAUAAAUAAAUAGCUACAGAAUAGCCUGUUUGCAAGUCAUGUGGAAGUGGGCUUCAGAGUCCAGACUUGCUGUGUGCUUAUUCUCAGAAACUUAUAGUAAGUCUUAGGUUAUAAUAAUAAUGAGAGAGAUCAAUUAUAUUAGAAUAUGCUGUGUUUCUAUUUCAUUUUAUAAUUUAGUUUUUAUUCAACGUAUUUUCAGCUCCUUUCGCUCAGUGGAACUGACGCUGUAGUGAGAGAAGUGAGGGCUGGGAUGCAGGAGCACAGAGGAGAAUGUGGACCAAGUCUGAGUCAGAUGAGUGCGUGAUCCACUUUGUUGCAGAAUUUUUGUUUCAAUGAGCUAUUUCUGUGUAAUAAGUUACUCUGAAACUUCAUGGCUUAAAAACAUGGACUCACUCAUGUGAUUGAAAUCAGAUGGCAGGUAGGAAAGUAGGAAGGUCCAAGAUGACCUCUCUCACAUUUCUCGGGCCUUGGCACUGGGCUGCCCCAUGGGUCUCUUAUCAUUUAGUGAUCCAGGCUUCACCUCCCUACAGGUGGUAGCACCAUUCCAAGAAGCUGCAGCUUCUUCCAUUCUAGAUUCCAGAAUUCACACAACCUCAUUGUACCCUGUUUGACUGGACAAAGCAAGUUACAAGGCCAUGCCAGGGCAAGGGCUGGGUAAGUGG
rnacentral:lncRNA from 1 species